UUUUACUGUUUAAAGGUUUAACCUUGAAGGGAAUUAGUUAAUGAAUUGUGCUGUUUCAUGAUGGGCUCAUUAUGAUUUCAGUUCAUUGCGUUGGGUGUGGAUUACUGAUUGAGAAAAGAGUUUACGACUAUGAUGUUAUAAAGAAGUCUUGGAAGCAAGGUUGCCAAGAAUGAUUUGUAGUCCGCGUCACUGCGUGUUUGAGUUUAACCAGUACAACUUACUUGAGAAUGAUAAGGAUUAUUUCAAUGUUUUUCAUGACUGUGGUUUCUGAUAUGGCCUAUUUUUAAAAGGAUGUUCCUUGAAGAAAGAACUGCAAAAGACGAUUUGAAUUACUGAUCACAUUGGGAGGUUGGCACACUUUACACUAUUUUCACAGGUAAACAAUUUUAACUUUUGUUUUUUGAAUCCUACCACAAGUAUCGUUUUUCCCAUGGGCCACCUAUUAGCAAAAUUUGUACAUAAUACAUUCAUUAAGCUUCCAAAUUUUCGUAUAUAACUCUAAAAUUGGAAUGGGAGGAUUUAUAUAAAGAAAGCUAUGGAAGCAUGAAAGAUACGUAUCAUUUGUUGGGUUGACUAGGACCAGGCGCAAAACAUUAUUAAAUCUGUUCAAAUUUCUAUUAUUCAUGUUCAUGCCAAAUUAAUGCUCAAUAUUGGUGUUGUCUAAAAAAAUUUUAUGGCACGGUCUUGCUGUUUUGGAAGGUGUUGCUAUUGACUUUAACCCAAAUUACAAGGUUUUAGGUAGCACAUACCCAUGGAUUGCUAGGAAAAUACUGACCAACAACUCACCACAGCUCAAGUCUUUCCUGCAGGCCUUUUUUAUGAGAAUCUCUAAAUGAGCAGAUACCCCAGUCUUAUCAAGGUUGACCUUGAACCUUCAAUGGAAUAGAAGAUAAUGAAGGGAUUAAUAACAUUGACAUUAAUAACAGUGAACCAUUGCAUCUUUGCAUUUCGUUUUGUCUGAAUUAGCAUUGCUAUUAAUAACAAGCUUUUUCCAAUCUCUGAAUCUAGUUUGUGUUGUAGCUGUCGCACGUGUUUCUGCUUUUUUAGAACCCCUUGCCUCUUUUGUUUGCACGAAGUAUCUGUUGGCCCUUGUAAUGAAUUUGCUUAUAAGAAAAUGGUGAAAGGGUUAGCUUUGACCAAUCUCUUAAUGUAGUUUGUGUUGUAGCUGUUGCAAGUGUCUUUACUUUUUAUAACCCUCAUGCCCUUCUUGUUUUCAGAAGUUUAUGUUACCUCUUUGUAUAAUGAAAUUGCUUAGCAGUGUAUUUUGUUGCAUUCUCCUUCACAGUAAAUCAUAUUGCUUUAUGUUUUUCAUCUGCAGAAUGGUGUUGGGUGGACAAAACUCAGAAGUGCAGCAUCUCUCAAAUAGUUAGACUUCUAAUGUUC
rnacentral:lncRNA from 1 species